rnacentral:rRNA from 1 species
AUUGAACGCUGGCGGCGUGCCUAAUACAUGCAAGUCGAACGGGGUAGCAAUACCUAGUGGCGCACGGGUGAGGAACGCGUGGAUAAUCUGCCUUAGAGUGGGGGAUAACUAGUCGAAAGAUUAGCUAAUACCGCAUAAGACCACAGGAGCUGCGGCUCUAGGGGUCAAAGGUUUUUCGCUCUAAGAUGAGUCCGCGUAAGAUUAGCUAGUUGGUGAGGUAACGGCUCACCAAGGCGACGAUCUUUAACUGGUCUGAGAGGAUGAUCAGUCACACUGGAACUGAGACACGGUCCAGACUCCUACGGGAGGCAGCAGUAGGGAAUAUUGCACAAUGGAGGAAACUCUGAUGCAGCGACGCCGCGUGAGUGAUGAAGGCCUUCGGGUCGUAAAGCUCUGUCGCAGGGGAAUAACACAAUGAAUGUACCCUGUAAGAAAGGAUCGGCUAACUUCGUGCCAGCAGCCGCAGUAACAC